UACGGGGGGUGCGAGCGUUGUUCGGAAUUACUGGGCGUAAAGGGCGCGUAGGCGGUUUCAGAAGUUUUGGGUGAAAGCCCCCGGCUCAACCGGGGAAGUGCCUGGAAAACCAUGGGACUGGAGUGCUGGAGAGGCAAGCGGAAUUUCUGGUGUAGCGGUGAAAUGCGUAGAUAUCAGAAGGAACAUCCGAGGCGAAGGCGGCUUGCUGGACAGACACUGACGCUGAGGCGCGAAAGCUAGGGGAGCAAACGGG
rnacentral:rRNA from 1 species